GACGUAGGGCGCGAGCGUUGUCCGGAUUUAUUGGGCGUAAAGAGCUCGUAGGCGGCUUGUUGCGUCAGCUGUGAAAACCCGCAGCUCAACUGUGGGCUUGCAGCUGAUACGGGCAGGCUUGAGUUCGGUAGGGGAGACUGGAAUUCCUGGUGUAGCGGUGAAAUGCGCAGAUAUCAGGAGGAACACCGGUGGCGAAGGCGGGUCCCUGGAACGGUACUGACGCUGAGACGCGAAAGCGUGGGGAGCGAACAGG
rnacentral:rRNA from 1 species